GAAGACUGUCAGCUGCUUUCGGGAAGGAUGGAGUUCUACACAUUCUCUCUCCGUGUGUGCAUUGCUCCUGAAUGUUUUAGAGGUUCUCUGGAAGACUAAGGAGAGAAACAUGGAGACGAAGACGGAAAGCCAGGGAGAGACAGAGAGGUUCGGGCUGCCAAAGAUCAGAGACAGAGUAGACAGACAUCUUUCAGCACCACACACAGAGCUGGCAGAGAGGUGACGUAGGGGCACUUCUAGAAAAAAACAGCAGCUGCAGAGGAGCCUAGACACUUUACCAGGAAGAAAAGCAAGUAUGGAGGCUCCUAGAAGCCAGGCACAUGGCCAGGCUCUUCAUUUCGUUGGGUCGUGGGAGUUCAAGCUACAUGUUAUGCUCUGACUUCCUCGUCUCAUUCAGCCCCUUCCUCUUGUCAGACAUUUCCCAGUCCCGACUACACUCAAGCUUCGCCCAGGAAGAUUUUUCACACUGAUAAUUAGAAUCGACAUAUUUAUGGGGCUCUAUUUUUGCGUGGACCAUCCGGUCUAAGGCCAGUAUUCCUUUUGAAGUCUGGAGAAUUGGAACCUUGGAGGAACUGAACAGUUCCCAGAGAGCAGAGCCUCAGGGAAUAAAACUUUAGACAGGCCUUAAGAUCAUUAGCGCUCGCUUUCCUUCACGCACAGAUAUCUCUCUGGAAAACCUUUGGUGGCCAAAGUCAUUAAUGAUCACAUAUAAAACCCUAAUUCAUCCAAAUGGGAAUCCAAUUCUUGACAAGCUGAUUUCAUCUCCAUUAGAUUUGUGGUUUGCAGAAACUGAGACCACUUUGCCCCAUAACAAAAAGCAGUCACACUCCACCCUGUUGAAGUCUGAGUCACUCGAGCUUCGAGUUCCCGGGUGAUUUUGCAUGAGUCAUUGUUCCACAUGAGGAUUUCUA